rnacentral:rRNA from 1 species
UACGUAGGUGGCAAGCGUUGUCCGGAAUUAUUGGGCGUAAAGCGCGCGCAGGCGGUCCUUUAAGUCUGAUGUGAAAUCCCACGGCUCAACCGUGGAAGGUCAUUGGAAACUGGGGGACUUGAGUACAGAAGAGGAAAGCGGAAUUCCAAGUGUAGCGGUGAAAUUCGUAGAUAUCGGGAGGAACACCGGUGGCGAAGGCGGCCAACUGGACGAAUACUGACGCUGAGACACGAAAGCGUGGGGAGCAAACAGG